AUUGAACGCUGGCGGCAGGCUUAACACAUGCAAGUCGAACGAGUGGCGGACGGGUGAGUAAUGUAUGGGGAUCUGCCUGAUGGCGGGGGAUAACUCCUGGAAACGGUAGCUAAUACCGCAUAACAUAAGAUGAACCCAUAUGGUAUUCUCUUGUAGGUGAGGUAACUGCACACCUAGGCGACGCUCCCUAGCUGGUCUGAGAGGAUGAUAAGCAACACUGGGACUGAGACACGGCCCAGACGCCUACGGGAGGCAGCAGUGGGGAAUAUUGCACAAUGGGCGCAAGCCUGAUGCAGCCAUGCCGCGUGUAUGAAGAAGGCCUUCGGGUUGUAAAGUACUUUCAGUCGGGAGGCGUUACCGACAGAAGAAGCACCGGCUAACUCCGUGCCAGCAGCCGCGGUAAUUC
rnacentral:rRNA from 1 species